AGGCCUGUGCACCUGGAAACUGGGCUAUUAUGUUCUUAGCUCUCUAAUCUCUUUUACUAUAGCACAGCAGCAACCAUCAAAAGGCUCCUAAUUAGGGUACUGGGGUGCAAAUGCCUUUUUCCCCCGACCUGCAGUGACUCUGGAGUGUCUGAGAUCCAGCAUCCGCUUCCUGGUUAGAGGCUGCCACCUAUAGCCGGGUGUGGUUCUGUUGAUCACCAAACACCGGAACCUCCCUCACAGUUGAAGAUGUUGAGCUUAUGCUUUCCCCUGCUGCUAUGUCUGCCUAGGCACAGCGUCUGUGCAAUCCUUUGUCCAUCUUGUGGUCAUCGCUCACCUUUUAAAGAUUCUGCCAAGUCCUGUCUCCAGGGGAUUCUGCAGUCGAAAACAGGUCUCUUCUGGUUCCAGAUGAAUUUUAGGAAUGUUUUCUGUAGUUCUGUAAGGUAUGAAGACACAAGUGUAGACAAAGACUUCAUGAGCAAAACCCUGAUGUCACAGGAAGUACUAUAAAGAAUCAACAUCUGGGAU